rnacentral:rRNA from 1 species
AGCAGUGAGGAAUAUUGGUCAAUGGUCUAAGGACUGAACCAGCAAUUUGGAAGAAUGAAAAACGAGUAAGUCGUAUAAAGUUCUAGAUAAAAAACGGAUAAUGACUAAAUUUUAUCUAUAAGUCUUGACCAAACUACGUGCCAGCAGUCGCGGUAAUACGUAGAAGACAAGUGUUAUUCAUCUUUAACAGGUUUAAAGGGUACCUAGACGGAAAAUCAAGCCAUAGAAGGGACUAAUUUUCUAGAGUUUAAUAUGUGAAGAUCGAACCACUUGAGUAGCGUCAAAAUGUUUAUAUACAUGUGGGACGGAUAGCAGCGAAGGCUAUUUUCUAUCUAAAAACUGACGUUGAGGAACGAAGCCCAGGGGAGCGAUAAGGAUUAGAUACCCUAGUAGUCCAGGGAGAAAAAGAUGAGUGCCAUAGACUAGCAAUUAGUUUAUAAAUGAAAGUGUAAGCAUUCCACCUCAUGAGUAAAGCGGCAACGCCGAAAUUGAAAUCAUUAGGCCGUUUCUGAAACCAGUAGUGAAGUAUGUUAUUUAAUUCGAUAGUCCGCGAAUAACCUUACCACCUCUUGAAUAUUUUUACAAGCGCUGCACGGCUGUCUUCAGUUAAUGUCGUGAGAUUUUGGUUUGUUCCAUUAAUUAACGAAAACCCAUGUUUUAUAUAUAACAAUAAAACAGUUCACCGAUAUAUUGGAAAUGAUAAAUGGGAUCAAGACAAGUCAUCAUGGCCUUAAUGAGUGUGGGCUAUAGA